UUUCCGUAGGUGAACCUGCGGAAGGAUCAUUACCGGGAUUGAUUUGGUUUCAAAUCAUCUCUCUGACCCUUUUUUGUUUAUCAAAAAUGUCUUUUCUUCGGCAAGACGUCUUGAUUUCAGAUGAAUUUCGGUUCAACUGAAUGAAAAGCCAUUGACAAUCUUUACUGAAUUGUGAAUGAGUUUGCUUGCCGAAGUACCUUACUCUAUAUUAUUGAAGUCUGAGUAAACAAACAAAUAAAUUAAAACUUUCAACAACGGAUCUCUUGGUUCUGGCAUCGAUGAAGAACGCAGC
rnacentral:misc_RNA from 1 species